CAGAGGCGACAGCGACGAGUAGGAGACGAGACGAAGGCAGUGAGAGAGAGGCGGUGAAGGCGGCGACGAGAACGAGACAAGGACGAGACAGAAACGAGACGGAGGCAGGGAUUUCAGUUGAGGGUUGGAUCCGAAACAUAAAGCUAUGUUAUUGAUGACUGUGUAGAAUUUCCAUGAAUUUACUCUUGAAUUUACAGAAGAACCGUGAAAAAUACAAAGGAGGAAAAUGAAUGUGAUUUUAUCCAAAAUAAAGAAUCUGGGCCGUCGAUUUAAAGAGUACAAAAGAAAAUUUAAUGGUUAGGAUAUGAGACAGGUACAAAUCUUGUCAAAGAUUUCAAAAUUAAUCUGAACCGUUGAGAUGGCAGAGAGAUGUGGAGUGGAGGUUUAUUCCCGCUAAAAUAAUGGUUAGGUUAGUCAGUGAGUUAGUUACAAAAUAACUAGUUUAUUUAGGCAAAAAGGAAGCUGUUAGGAUAAACUACUUUGGUAGAAGAAAGUGUUUUUUGGGUUAUAAAAAACUCAAAACUGCAUUUGAGCGUAAUUAUUUCAUGUUAAUAUAUGUAUACAUUGUAGAAAUAUUAAAGACGAAGCAAUAUGUUUAGUUAAGGGAUCGCUUAUCCUUGCAUCAGAAGGAAGAAGCUAGAUAUCAUUGAUAUAAUGAGUUUUCCAACCAUUACAUUUACACGUGAACGAGUAGCUUUUUUAUUUGAUGUAUGACCUUUCUUGAUUGCAUAAAAUGUUUGAUAAUAAUAAUAUUAAGUUGUUUGAU
rnacentral:lncRNA from 1 species